CUAUACCCCUCAGGGAAGGGGAGCAUGCAUUGUCAGUUAUUUGGUCAGGUUCACUUAUUCUUGUCAGCUAAUAACAUCAAGUUUGCUUCCGUUGGCUGUAGCAUAGUGCCGAGUGUUUCAAAAUUCUCAGACAUGCCCGUUGUAAGAACGUUUUGUUCGAUUAUGUGGGUUAGAGUUAGAUAGGUUAACAGUAUGAAAUAACAUUGUAGGAGGAUUACUUUGAAAGGUUUUUCUAAAUUUACUUUUCUAUUGUGGUUGGAGAGUUUUGGCAAGUGCUUGCUACUAGCACAAUACACUAACAGUUUGAUAUAAUUGAAAGAGAGCCAGAUUAAGGAGCAGCACUUACUUUUUUUCGAAAAGGAGGCUUAGCCCCGGCCUCUGCAUCGAGUGAUGCAUACAACCAUAUAUAAAAGAGAGCCAAAAUCCGGCAUAGUACAAGUCAAAGUGCAGCCAUAAGGCGGUAAACCCAAAAUAUACAAGGCGAGAAUUACACCCAAACCGGUGAUGACGUAAAGAUCUAGAUGACUAAACACCUAUUCUAUUAAUAUGACGUCAUCCAAACCGGUUGAAGAUACCCUGUCCUACCAUCUUCCAUCGGACACACCCAGUAUCCAAAUGCUCCCUGGCUGCCACAUGAGUGAGUAAUGACCACGUGCGAAUCAGUGCGGUAGCCUUGAAGAUAACCUGAAGAAAGUGAAUAUCGCGUAAUCUGUUAAAAACUAAAUCAUUCCUGCUAUUCCAAAGAGCCCACAAAAGAGCACAGGUUCCAAUACGAAUAAGUUUAGCAAUUUGAACAUGCACUCGUGUAACACCCAAAAUGCGAUCCUAUCCUCAAUCUGGCACGAGGGCCUCGUCAGGGAUAGAAGUGCAUCUCGUCGUGUCGCAAGAAUGGAUAUCGUUACAAGUACAUGUACUGAAAAGAAGAGAUAUAUAAAG
rnacentral:lncRNA from 1 species